GAGUGAAGGAGAUGUAGAAGGCUGUGAGAGGCCAUAGGUAAUGAGAUUAGGAGAGAGACCCUUUUCAGGCAAGGAUAGAACUGUGAAGCUUUCCAGAUGCAGAGGCCUAGGAGAGAGAACCAUGACUAAAAAGGGGCAGAGAUGGUUUCAGGCCUCUUUGCCUGGAGAGCUUGUGAGAAGACCCUGAGAAAUCAGGCUACAGACUGAGAAAAUCUCCAGACGGCAAGAGCCUAGAGACAGAGCUCACAGCUUUCUCCACCCAGGAGGCCAAUGUUACUUCAGAUGAUUCCCUCACCUGUCCACUCCAACUACUAAAAGACAGGUCCUGGGCCAGACGGAACUGGUUCUUUCAGAGCAGAUGAGAUUGAUCUAGUAUUACUUGCCUGGGCUGGAGCAAAUGCCACUACACAUCUGAAGCUUCAGAACUUGCCAUGUGAUAUGGGAGACAAAUGAAGCCAGUCAGCAAUGUCAAGGUUUGAAGUGGUGGUCCAUUGAAAGCAGUGGGUCUUACAAGCCUGAGAAGUAGCACGUAAAGCGACUAUGCUGUGGUUUUGUUGCAGAUGCCAGUACUCUUGUGUGAAGUUUUGAAGCGUCAGAUGAACUUGGAUCAAAACUUCUUCUUUUCAAAGGCUGAAUCAUUUUAGGAUGUGGAGCUAAAGUUAAAUGAUAUUUUUGAGGAUAUGAGUAUUAUACUAUGCAAACCACAGACACAGGAUAAGAAUUGUUUACACAAUAUUAUUAUACAGUUACAUAUCUAUUGAGAUAGGUCUCAGUCAUGAUUUUUCAGAGGCUGCAGAAAUAUAAAGGCAAAGGAAAUGUUUUACUUUGAUUUAUUUAGUUUUUUAAAUUUGGAUUGUCCCUUACAGUUUCUUCUUAUUGAUGAGUGACUGAUGGAUACCUGAUCAACCAAUAUUGCAAGAAAAUCUGGGCAGGAAGAAUGAAAUGUAACCUCCCCAAAAGGAUGUGGUACAAUCUCAUGCCACCAAAAUCAAAACCAGAAAGUGGAAAUGAAACACCUGUUGUAGGAGUACAAUGAAGCAAUGUAAACCUUGUAGCCACUGGAGACAUAUUUCUCUGGGAAUGUACCAGUCAUUUGCAAACUAUCUUUCUGUUAGCAAUGAGCAAUUCCCCAAAUACUCUCCCCUGCCCACAACUGACACACACUCACUUGAAGCAGGAGCCAUAGUUUAUCAGGGUUGAAUGGGCCAGACCAGGAAGUUUAUCAGUAUUCACAACUCAAUAGGCAA